rnacentral:rRNA from 1 species
UACGGAGGGUGCAAGCGUUAAUCGGAAUUACUGGGCGUAAAGCGCACGCAGGCGGUCUGUUAAGUCAGAUGUGAAAUCCCCGGGCUUAACCUGGGAACUGCAUUUGAAACUGGCAGGCUUGAGUCUCGUAGAGGGGGGUAGAAUUCCAGGUGUAGCGGUGAAAUGCGUAGAGAUCUGGAGGAACACCGGUGGCGAAGGCGGCAUCCUGGACCGACACUGACGCUGAGGAGCGAAAGCCAGGGGAGCAAACGGG